rnacentral:tRNA from 1 species
AAAAUUUUAAGUUAAGUUAAACUAAUAAUUUUCAAAAUUAUAAAUAUUUAUUUAAAUUUUA